GGGGAAUCUUCCGCAAUGGGCGAAAGCCUGACGGAGCAAUACCGCGUGAGGGAAGACUGCCUAUGGGUUGUAAACCUCUUUUUUCAGGGAGGAAUCAUUGACGUGUACCUGAAGAAUAAGCGUCGGCUAACUCCGUGCCAGCAGCCGCGGUAAGACGGAGGAUGCAAGUGUUAUACGGAAUCACUGGGCGUAAAGCGUCUGUAGGUGGUUUAAUAAGUCAACUGUUAAAUCUUGAGGCUUAACUUCAAAAUCGCAGUCGAAACUAUUAGACUAGAGUAUAGUAGGGGUAAAGGGAAUUUCCAGUGGAGCGGUGAAAUGCGUAGAUAUUGGAAAGAACACCGAUGGCGAAAGCACUUUACUGGGCUAUUACUAACACUCAGAGACGAAAGCUAGGGUAGCAAAUGGGAUUAGAUACCCCAGUAGUC
rnacentral:rRNA from 1 species